AAAUUGUGAAAUAGGAUAGUAAGCGCAUGUUGUUUAAAUUGAAUUGCUAAAUAUGAUGAUAGUAUUGCUUAGAUUACAUGCUUCCUAAAUAUCAUCACUCAUCUUAGAUUGUAAAACAGUUUGUUGACAUCUAAUUUUGUGGACUUCUCCCAUUAAUGAGUGGUUAAUAGAGGACACUCCUCUUUCUUUUGCAUAGGAUUUACUUUGAUUAUGACAAUAUGUAGUUGAAAAACUAACCCUAAUGUAAGU
rnacentral:misc_RNA from 1 species